GUCACAUGGUUUCAUCGUCACAUGACGGAUGUAAUGUGUCAGUUUCUAAAAAUAGCUGUUAAGUGCUGUCCAUAUAUAGCCAGUCACAGGGUGUACACAAUAAACUACAACAGGAUCGCCGACUCUGCCAGAAAAAUAAAUUGAGACAAAACGAAACAAGGCCAUGUAUCGCCCAGCCCAGCCAGCGGUGAAUGUGACAGUACACCCCCCGCCCCAGCCAGGAUACCCCGCGCCAAACACGGGCUAUAAUGGAGGCCAGCCGUACCCACAGCCAUACCCACAGUCGUACCCACAGCCAUACCCACAGCCGGCGCCACAACCAUACCCCGCGCCCCCGGUAACGUACCCCGCCCAGCAACCCCCGGUGGUGUACCCUGCUGGAUACGUUCAGCCCCAACCACCCGUCUUCGUCCCUGGUCCCCGACCCCCGAGAAUCGACAUCCACCUCGGCCGCGGACCAAGAUUCGGACCUUUUCAUCAUCAUCACCACCGCCAUCACCAUGGCCAUGGCCAUCACUGGUAAUCGGAUGAGCACAUGUACGUGUGUUCCGUAGUGCUAAACUUUCCCAGUAAAAGGUAUAUAUAUUAUAUAUAAAUAAUUUAUAUACUCUUUUAACGGAAAUUACGGAAACAGGAUGGCAUAGCCAGCGGAAGUGGAUGGCGUUCUGGCCAUAAUGAUAUACACACAUCACCAUAACAACUAUUAUAGGAAAUCCUUGAUGAUCCGAAAACAGUAAAUCUGUUUUGAUUAACGACUCACAAAACAUGUGGAUUAUACAUAUGUUAGUUGUAUGGUGAGGUAACAACGUUUUACUGAAUUUCGGACAACUGGACCUUGACCACAUGCAGUUUGCUGGACAUUGUUUCAAACUCUACGGUGUAAAUAGGGGUCAGAAUGCAGGAUGCUCAAAGUCCGCAUUCUAGCGGCGGUCACUAUCUGUAACAUAAACAGGUGGCCCUAUAUAUCUACAUACUGUGGAAUGUGUUCGUGUUGGCAGCAUACAUAUUAUCAUAUGUUUACAUUUUCUGCUGUGAUACUAAUGCUAAAUAAUGUGAUUGUUAUUAACUUCAUCCGUACAACAUUUAGCCCGAGUUUCCUCUAGCCCCAACACCAGAUCUAGACAUUAGACACACCAGACAUCUGUCCGUCAAAAUGUCUAACGUCCGGUGUUGGGACCAGAACCUUGCAAAAUGACGCACAGCAAUGCUUGUGAGAUUAGUUACUAAUGUUGAACGUGAUUUUUUAAUCAUUUUUAAAUACAGUAUAUUUAUAACUAGUAAAAAUGAUAUUUAUUCAUGUUUUAUCAAAUAAACACGUUGAACAUAGCAA